AAGGAGUCUAACAUAUGUGCAAGUUAUUGGGAGAUAAAACUAAUAGCGUAAUUAACUUGACUAAUAAUGGUAUUAGUUUUUUUACUAUUUAUAGAUAAUUUACACAAUCCUGGGGCGUUCUAUAUAGUUAUGUAUAAUAAUAUUUAUAGUAUUUAUGCCUCUAACUGGAACGUACCUUGACCCGAAAGAUGGUGAACUAUACUUGUUCAGGUUGAAGUCAGGGGAAACCCUGAUGGAAGACCGAAACAGUUCUGACGUGCAAAUCGAUUGUCAGAAUUGAGUAUAGGGGCGAAAGACCAAUCGAACCAUCUAGUAGCUGGUUCCUUUCGAAGUUUCCCUCAGGAUAGCUGGUGCAUUUUAAUGUUAUAUAAAAUAAUCUUAUCUGGUAAAGCGAAUGAUUAGAGGCCUUAGGGUCGAAACGAUCUUAACCUAUUCUCAAACUUUAAAUGGGUAAGAACCUUAACUUUCUCGAUAUGAAGUUUAAGGUUAUGAUAUAAU
rnacentral:ncRNA from 1 species